CCUCGCCCGGGCCGCAGCUCCGUUUUUGGGGUGGAUUCGAGCAGAUCGGGAGCGCUCGCGUUCGCCAGUGAACGAGGGAAACGUUCAAGGUGACCUCGGCGUUGUCGUAGUGGGAGCUCAGGUCCAGGUCCUCGUGCAGGGCGUACUUGACCACGAAGGCUCUGUGGCUGUCCAGGCAGGCCCCGCCCAGCUCCGGGUACAGCAGCGCCGUCAGCGGCCGCAGCCGCUCCCGCAGCGGCGUCACCAAACGCUCGUCCAUGCCCAGCUCGUUCAGCAGAACCUGCGCCGGGACAGCGGGGGGAGCAGCUCAGCAGCCUCCUCAGAGCUCUGCCCUCCUCCUGCCUCAGCUCCAGGACGCUGGAGCAAAGGGGAAAGGAAGGAGGAUCAAAGUGGAGAGAGAUGGGGGGGAAACAGAGAGUAAUAAGAUUAAAAGCACUUGGAGAUGAUGGCUCUGCGUUCCACUGACUGAUGGGGUAACUGCUUCCUCCUCUGCACUUCUGCCUCAAUCUGCAAGUGAACAACAGAGCACACGGUCAGACAUCAGCAGGGCUGAGGGAAACAGCUCCAGCAGUCUGCUCCUUGUUUUAAACCAGUUAUUUUUGUUUGGGGGCACCUCUGGGACACAGAGUGUUUGGCUUAAAAAGUGA